UAUUGGACUACCAUGGCUUUAACGGGUAACGGAGGAUUAGGGUUCGAUUCCGGAGAGGGAGCCUGAGAAACGGCUACCACAUCUAAGGAAGGCAGCAGGCGCGUAAAUUACCCAAUCCUGACUCAGGGAGGUAGUGACAAGAAAUAACGGACCGAAGCCUAUGGUUUCGGGAUUGCAAUGAGUAGGAUUUAAACCCCUUUACGAGGAUCAAUUGGAGGGCAAGUCUGGUGCCAGCAGCCGCGGUAAUUCCAGCUCCAAUAGCGUAUAUUAAAGUUGUUGCAGUUAAAAAGCUCGUAGUUGGAUUUCUGGGAGGGUGCCAAUGUCCGCUCGUUCGCGUGUGCAGCGGCGCCCUUCCAUCCUUCUGUUAACGUUUCUUGGUAUUCAUUUACUGGUUUCGGGCUCAGAUAUUUUACCUUGAGAAAAUUAGAGUGUUUCUAGCAGGCAAUUGCUUGAAUACAUUAGCAUGGAAUAAUAGAAUAGGACUUUUGUCCAUUUCGUUGGUUAUUGGACAUUAGUAAUGAUUAAAAGGGACAGUUGGGGGCAUUAGUAUUUAAUUGUCAGAGGUGAAAUUCUUGGAUUUAUUAAAGACUAACUUAUGCGAAAGCAUUUGCCAAGGAUGUUUUCA
rnacentral:rRNA from 1 species